CUGAUUAGGGAAAUGAAUUUGCUCCGUGAAAGUAACAUGCAGCUUAGAGAGGAGAACAAGCUCAAUUUUGAGGAGUGCCAGAAAUUACGAGAGGUGGCUCAUAAAAGUAGGAUUGAAUCUGAAGCUCUAGGAGAGUCAGCUGAUGGACAGGCAAUUUGAGCUUGAAGCUUCUAAAAGGGAAAUUGAAAAGCAUCAGACGGAGAGAGGUGUCUUGGAAAAGAGGGUCUCUGAGUUACUUGAGAGAUGUAGAAACAUCGAUGUGGAAGACUAUGAUCGUCUGAAAAAUGAUGUGCAACAGAAGGAGGUAAGAUGAGCUUUUAUGAACACAUAUCA